rnacentral:lncRNA from 1 species
CAAAACUUUCUGGAACAUGUCACCUAAUCUGGUCAGUCUUAUGCCCAUAAGGUGCUUCCCUUUCCUCAUUCCCUUCGAUUUAUCUUCUUUUUUUUGGGUCAAUUUUUUUAUUUUUGAACCAGGGAUUCAAAGAUGGGAUGUCUCGAAUUUGAAUCUAGGAUUUGAAACGUUGAGGCAUUCUUCAGGUAUUUCUGUAUUCUCGAGAGGUUUGAAGCUGGGUUUGCAGGCUUGGUGUUCUUCAAAUGUUCUGCCAUUCGGGGUUCUUUAGUGUAAGAAUAUUGGGAUUCAAACUAGUUUCUUUACUUUAUAAGCCAUUUCACUUCCAAUCUAAUAGGGAUUACAUAUUGAGAAAACCCUAUUGGAGGCAACGCUUGUAAGUAUAUCAAGGGUCCAUGCCUGUUUCAUGUAAU